rnacentral:rRNA from 1 species
GACGAACGCUGGCGGCGUGCUUAACACAUGCAAGUCGAACGAGACCUUCGGGUCUAGUGGCGCACGGGUGCGUAACGCGUGGGAAUCUGCCCUUGGGUUCGGGAUAACAGUUGGAAACGACUGCUAAUACCGGAUGAUGUCUUCGGACCAAAGAUUUAUCGCCCAGGGAUGAGCCCGCGGCGGAUUAGCUAGUUGGUGAGGUAAAGGCUCACCAAGGCGACGAUCCGUAGCUGGUCUGAGAGGAUGAUCAGCCACACUGGGACUGAGACACGGCCCAGACUCCUACGGGAGGCAGCAGUGGGGAAUAUUGGACAAUGGGCGAAAGCCUGAUCCAGCAAUGCCGCGUGAGUGAUGAAGGCCUUAGGGUUGUAGAGCUCUUUUACCCGGGAUGAUAAUGACAGUACCGGGAGAAUAAGCCCCGGCUAACUCCGUGCCAGCCGCCGCCGUAAAAC